rnacentral:rRNA from 1 species
AGAUUGAACGCUGGCGGCAUGCCUUACACAUGCAAGUCGAACGGCAGCACGGGAGCAAUCCUGGUGGCGAGUGGCGAACGGGUGAGUAAUAUAUCGGAACGUGCCCAGUCGUGGGGGAUAACGUAGAGAAAUUUACGCUAAUACCGCAUACGAUCCAAGGAUGAAAGCGGGGGACCGUAAGGCCUCGCGCGACUGGGAGCGGCUGAUAUCAGAUUAGCUUGUUGGUGAGGUAAAAGCUCACCAAGGCGACGAUCUGUAGCUGGUUUGAGAGAACGACCAGCCACACUGGGACUGAGACACGGCCCAGACUCC